AAAGGUUGACCUCGGAUCAGGUAGGAAUACCCGCUGAACUUAAGCAUAUCAAUAAGCGGAGGAAAUCUCC
rnacentral:rRNA from 1 species